UCCAAAAAAUAUACUACCUGUAGCGCUCACGGUUUUCGAAUUAAAAAAAAUUUUUAAUUGACUUUAUUACAGAUUCUCAAUCCUUGAGAAAUGUUCUGUUGAAUAAGUAUGCUUAAAAUCGUUUUUGCGAACAUGACUUUUUCGAUUUUUGCAGCGCGAAUUGUUCGAGAGGCGCUACUGUGCGUCGCUUCCUAACAAGCGGUCGCCAGCACAAAAUAUAAAAAUUCAAUUUUUUGUGCUUGCGCUUGCGCACACAUAUUCUCGCACACCAGAGAGCUGCAACGAUCAAAAUUUUUUCGAUUAUACCCGAUCAUUGACUCGGAUUUUUUGUUACGGAACUGCAUAUUCCCUGGGCAAUGCCGGACUAGCUCAGUGGAUGCCCAGGGGGGGUAGGAACCUAUGCCCGCAGUCCGCACAACUAAACACCGAUUAAUCGGACGUCUCACGCAAAACUCCUCACUAACAAAUAACACAUCUCUAACAAAAAAAAGGUAAACAAACCAAAAUUGACGACAUUUACGGAAUGGUGGCAUAGAUGGAGUCGCCACGACGCUCCCGCCCAACCUGUGGUGCCUCCGGUGUGUCUAGGGGCACCACCCAUCUCCGGCGGACCGGAGUCUAAUCCAGGCGGCUCGACGGCCGGCCCAUCUCCCCACGUAAAUACUUUUUACUCAAAGUUCAUCGUGUUUAAUACUUUAUAAAUUCAAGGUAUUUAAGGCUAACAUUGGCAGAGUACAUAUUUGUAACCCAGGUAACACCUCACUUGCUCCCGGCGAGAGCGUGGCCUCAGCCAGGGAUGCGCUCGCGCCAAGGCUGCCAAGCAAAUGUUUCCGGAUAUCGCGGAGGAGAAGCGGCGCUCCGCCAACACACAACAGGCCACAACCUGGCCAAAAGAAUUUGGUACUUCCAACCUGAUAUCCCUACUGGAGCUCCAAGAGAAAUAAAAGGGGAGAGGGUUCUACUUCGAUUUUGGUCCAGCUUCUUCACCCCGAAUCGGCCCUAUUGCAGCCUUGUGUUGCACAAAUCCCGGACCCAGGGACUACGACAACGCAGAGGACAAAUUACGGCGAUACCAACUAGAAGGCACUAUUGGCGACCCGCAAAUGGCUUCGGUGGCCUGAGUGGCCAGAAAUCGUGACGACGGCUAGCCCGAGGAAAGUAGGGCCAGUAGGACGCAGCCACGGCCACGUCGUUUCGGAGAAGAGGCAGAGCCAAUGGAUGUCCCCAAAUAUGGGUACGAAAAAACCUGCCGGUUCCGGACGGCGCUUAACGGAACGGACUCACCGGAUUCCCGUUUGGCUCGAUAGCUGGCUCCGUCAACGGCUGCUGAGAGGCUCGUUUGAAAAUUUCCCUCACUCCUCUCCAGAAUAUAUCCUCCCCAGAACGUCGGCGGCGGGUAAUUCCUAGCCGCCCAGGAGAUUAGCUGCUUUAACUUCGACUUUCCGUUGCUACUGCCGGCUUCCAUGUUGACUAUCCCUCCCUAUAUAGGCUUCGCCUGUCACCCGAGUUCGCACCUAGGAACCGUUCUUUUUUCGGUGCAACGCCCGAGGCCAAGGGUAAAAACCCUUUCUCUUAAUUCCCCAACCUAAUCCCGUUUCCUAUUCCCGGUUCGCUCUUUUGAAUCCCUGCCCCCCCCUGGUCCUAAUGAUCCUACCUCUAUCGAUCUAUCGAUAGUCCUCCAGCCCAUUCCGAUUGAAAAUGCAACAUUUUUGUAACGCAAAACUUUGCAUCAACAAAAUUGAAUGAUCAUUAGCGAGCGCGAUCGAAGCGAACAUUCAGUUCCGAUCACUCUUGACUUGGUUCGGAAUAGGGAUGUCGGAAAUAUAUCAAAAUAUCGAUAUUUUUUCUCUUAAAAAAAUAUUAUCAUCGCGAUAUUUUUUGGGCAAAAAUAGGCGAUAAUGAUAUUUUUUUGAGAUGAUAUUUCCGAUAUUUUUAUAUUUGGUCACUCUUAAGCCAAACAUGAAAAAAGAGACGCGUGUGAUUAUGAGUGCGGCAAAAGAAUUUUAUUCUGAAUUCAAUGGAAUUACAGCGAAAUGCACAUUAUGCUUAAAGAUAAUUAAAAGUAGUGGGAAUUCUACCAACUUACUUUCCCACCUGAAAAACAAGCACCAAGAUACUUUUUUAAAAUGCUCAAAAUGCAAUGUGCUGGGAUUUACAUAUAUAUGUACAUAAAUUUCUGUGUGUGUGCGUUCUUUUCCGCGAAAUUUACCGGUGUAUGUCGUUUUACACAUGUAUGUAUGCAAGUUUGUGCGUGUUUUCCAGAAUUUUUAAAAUCAAAAUGCGCAGGCAUAUGGACAUACAUACAUACAGCGUGUGCGUUCUUUUCCGCGAAAUUUACCGGUGUAUGUCGUUUUACACAUGUAUGUAUGCAAGUUUGUGCGUGUUUUCCAGAAUUUUUAAAAUCAAAAUGCGUAGGCAUAUGGACAUACAUACAUACAUACAUACAGCGUGUGCGUUCUUUUCCGCGAAAUUUACCGGUGUAUGUCGAUUUACACAUGUAUGUAUGCAAGUUUGUGCGUGUUUUCCAGAUCUUUUAAAAUCAAAAUGCGCAGGCAUAUAGACAUGUCUAUACACGCACAAACUUGCAUACAUACAUGUGUAAACAGACAUAUAAUGUAAAUUUUCGCGGGAAAGAAUGCACACACACAGAAACUUAUGUACAUCCUUAUAUAGCUUAUACAUACAUUAGUGACAACUUAAUUUUUGUUAUGACAGACCAGCAUGUAACCGAACGAGUUUUUCUUAAAUCAUUAAAAACUGAUUUUUGUUAAAUAAAACCACUUAUUGGUCUAUACCAUA